AGUGGCGAACGGGUGAGUAACGCGUGAGGAACCUGCCUUUCAGUGGGGGACAACAGUUGGAAACGACUGCUAAUACCGCAUGAUACUUUUUGGAGGCAUCUCUGAAAAGUCAAAGCUUUAUGUGCUGAAAGAUGGUCUCGCGUCUGAUUAGCUAGUUGGUGAGGUAACGGCUCACCAAGGCGACGAUCAGUAGCCGGUCUGAGAGGAUGAACGGCCACAUUGGGACUGAGAUACGGCCCAGACUCCUACGGGAGGCAGCAGUGGGGAAUAUUGGGCAAUGGGGGAAACCCUGACCCAGCAACGCCGCGUGAAGGAAGAAGGCCUUCGGGUUGUAAACUUCUUUUACCAGGGACGAAGAACGUGACGGUACCUGGAGAAAAAGCAACGGCUAACUACGUGCCAGCAGCCGCGGUAAUACGUAGGUUGCAAGCGUUAUCCGGAUUUAUUGGGCGUAAAGCGCGUCUAGGCGGUUUGGUAAGUCUGAUGUGAAAAUGCGGGGCUCAACUCCGUAUUGCGUUGGAAACUGCUAAACUAGAGUACUGGAGAGGUAGGCGGAACUACAAGUGUAGAGGUGAAAUUCGUAGAUAUUUGUAGGAAUGCCGAUGGGGAAGCCAGCCUACUGGACAGAUACUGACGCUAAAGCGCGAAAGCGUGGGGAGCAAACAGGAUUAGAUACCCUGGUAGUCCACGCUGUAAACGAUGAGUACUAGGUGUCGGAGGUUACCCCCUUCGGUGCCGCAGCUAACGCAUUAAGUACUCCGCCUGGGGAGUACGCACGCAAGUGUGGAACUCAAAGGAAUUGACGGGGACCCGCACAAGUAGCGGAGCAUGUGGUUUAAUUCGAAGCAACGCGAAGAACCUUACCUAGGCUUGACAUCCUUCUGACCGAGGACUAAUCUCCUCUUUCCCUCCGGGGACAGAAGUGACAGGUGGUGCAUGGUUGUCGUCAGCUCGUGUCGUGAGAUGUUGGGUUAAGUCCCGCAACGAGCGCAACCCUUGUCUUUAGUUGCCAUCAUUUAGUUGGGCACUCUGGAGAGACUGCCAGGGAUAACCUGGAGGAAGGUGGGGAUGACGUCAAAUCAUCAUGCCCCUUAUGCCUAGGGCUACACACGUGCUACAAUGGGUGGUACAGAGGGCAGCUAAGCCGUGAGGUGGAGCAAAUCCCUUAAAGCCAUUCUCAGUUCGGAUUGUAGGCUGAAACUCGCCUACAUGAAGCUGGAGUUACUAGUAAUCGCAGAUCAGAAUGCUGCGGUGAAUGCGUUCCCGGGUCUUGUACACACCGCCCGUCA
rnacentral:rRNA from 1 species